rnacentral:ncRNA from 2 species
ACUGAAUAGUGCGGAACAGGUGGCCCUAACGAGGGCUUAAAAGGGAAGUCCGGUGCGAAUCCGGCGCGGUCCCGCCACUGUGAGGGGGAUCUGCCUUGCAGGAUGCCACUGUCCGGCAGCCCAGCUCAAGUUUUAGGCAGCAGUUGGGUGCGGGAUGGGAAGGCGCAAGGCUGGAGAUGAACCCGAGCCAGGAAACCUGCCUGUUCGACGGACACCGU